GUUUCCGUAGGUGACCUGCGGAAGGAUCAUUAUCGUAUAAACUUGAACAGGCUGUUGCUGGCCCUCCGGGGUGUGUGCACGCUUGUCUCAUCUUUGUCAUUUCUCCAACUUGUGCACAUUUUGUAGAUCCUGGAUGGGGGUGAGCCCUUGUGAACUCGCGUUCGAAUUGGGACUGCUGUUGCUUUUCUUUGGAAAGGCCGGCUUUUCCUUGCAUCUUUUUUCCAGGUCUAUGUCAUUUUUUCACAACCUCUUGAAUGUGUUGGAAUAGUAAAAGUGAAAAUAUAUACAACUUUCAGCAACGGAUCUCUUGGCUCUCGCAUCGAUGAAGAACGCAGCGAAAUGCGAUAAGUAAUGUGAAUUGCAGAAUUCAGUGAAUCAUCGAAUCUUUGAACGCAUCUUGCGCUCCUUGGUAUUCCGAGGAGCAUGCCUGUUUGAGUGUCAUUUACCUUAUCAACCACUUCAGAUUUUUGAAUGUGGCUUGGAUGUGGGGGGAAUUCUUUGCCGGCUUUUCUGAAAAAGGUCUGGCUCCCCUGAAACGCAUUAGUGGCAUCUGAGCUGCUACUGUAGGUGUGAUAAAUAUCUAUGCCUUUGGUAUGCUGCAUGAACAGAUUGCGCUGCUCAAAACCAACCAACUUGACAAACUUGACCUCAAAUCAGGUAGGACUACCCGCUGAACUUAAGCAUAUCA
rnacentral:rRNA from 1 species